UCCAAAAUAGGUUCGCAAAAAAAGUUUGGAAAAAAAUAUCGUGCAUAAAAAGGCACUCAAUUGUAUUUAUUCAUCUUUUGUAAUUAAAAAAAUAUUAAAAAUAUUAAAAAAAUUACGAAGUUUAAAAAAAAGUCUUGAAAGUUUAAAGUGUUUUAUCUUUUGUAGCCCAUUCUUAUAUCACCCUAUACACCACACCUAAACCUAUUUCAAUUUCUUUCAGCCUACCCUAACCCAU
rnacentral:lncRNA from 1 species